AUCCCAGUUCGGACUGCAGGCUGNAACCCGCCUGUAUGAAGUUGGAAUCGCUAGUAAUCGCGGAUCAGCAUGCCGCGGUGAAUACGUUCCCGGGCCUUGUACACACCGCCCGUCACACCAUGAGAGUCGGGAACACCCGAAGUCCGUAGCCUAACCGCAAGGAGGGCGCGGCCGAAGGUGGGUUCGAUAAUUGGGGUGAAGUCGUAACAAGGUAUC
rnacentral:rRNA from 1 species